rnacentral:rRNA from 1 species
GUUUUCCUACGGGGGGCAGCAGUGGGGAAUUUUGGGCAAUGGGCGCAAGCCUGAUCCAGCUAUUCCGCGUGUGGGAUGAAGGCCCUCUGGUUGUAAACCACUUUUGUAGAGAACGAAAAGACACCUUCGAAUAAAGGGUGUUGCUGACGGUACUCUAAGAAUAAGCACCGGCUAACUACGUGCCAGCAGCCGCGGUAAUACGUAGGGUGCGAGCGUUAAUCGGAAUUACUGGGUGCAAAGGGUGCGCAGGCGGUUGAUGAA